GAUGAACGCUAGCGGCAGGCUUAAUACAUGCAAGUCGAGGGGCAACAGGGGUAGCAAUACCUGCUGGCGACCGGCAAACGGGUGCGGAACACGUACAGGACCUUCCUUUAAGCGGGGGAUAGCCCAGAGAAAUUUGGAUUAAUACCCCGUAAUAUUAUGAAGUGGCAUCAUUUUAUAAUUAUAGCUCCGGCGCUUGAAGAUGGGUGUGCGGCUGAUUAGGUAGUUGGCGGGGUAACGGCCCACCAAGCCUACGAUCAGUAACUGGUGUGAGAGCACGACCAGUCACACGGGCACUGAGACACGGGGCCCGACUCCUACGGGAGGCAGCAGUAAGGAAUAUUGGUCAAUGGACGCAAGUCUGAACCAGCCAUGCCGCGUGAAGGAUGAAGGCGUUCUGCGUUGUAAACUUCUUUUANCUGGGAAGAAACCUGAGUUUUCUAAUUCAGCCGACGUACCAGAGGAAUAAGCACCGGCUAACUCCGUGCCAGCAGCCGCCGCGGUAAG
rnacentral:rRNA from 1 species